AUUUCAACACCUCUAGUUCGUGUGUCACGGGGCGGAAGUUGAUUUUAUUUAAGCAUGCUUUUACUUGGAUUUGCUGUGGUUUACUAUUUGCUGUGGUUUUUAUCUUUUAUAUUGCAUGCUUUUAUUUUGACACGUGUGGUGUGUGUUUUUAAUGUUGUUUACUUCCGCCAGUGAACAUUUUAGUAAUCAGGCUAAAGGACUUGCACCUGGGAGCCAGAGAAGGUAUUGACUGGGUUUUAGGUAAAAAAAGGCAUGCAGCGAAGAAGCACAUGAUGGAGGACACAGAGAGCGAAGAAGCACAUGAUAGAGCACACUGAGAGCGAAGAAGUACAUGAUAGAGGACACUGAGAGCGAAGAAGUACAAGAGACCAACAGGAGAACAUGAAGGAGGAUAUGGAGAGAAUGAGAGCACCACAGACGGAAAGGAACAGACAGAGGAGCAGACACAGAGGAGUGGACGGACAGACACAGAGAAACUCAAACACCAAUCGCUACAGCAGCAACAGUGGGAGAAUGUAAAACUUCUCCCUUCCGCGCUAUGCCCCAGGAGAGGAGCCAAACGGCAAAGAAGCUGGUUGCCAGCGAAAGCCUGUGGACAUUUUAAUCUAUCACUCCUGUUCUGUUGGACUGUUUUUAGCUUGAUUUUAGUGGGUUCUCUUUUAGUUGUCGGCCCUGUACGCUAUUUUAUAGUUUAUCCGCGCUCACGCGCGCCCCCCCCCCCUUCUUACAGUUCAGGGGACAGGCAGCUCACAGAUAGCAAGGAGAUGUUUGCUGUAUGUGACAAAAGACGUUGCCUAAAAAACAAUGACAUUGCUUAGAGUACCUUUUUAAUAUUGACAUCAUUGUUCGCAAUGUGACUGUUUUUUCAGCUGAAACUUGCAUAAAAGGAAUACCAUGAUUUAAGUUCAUGUUAGGAAAAUGAUGCUUACUAGCAAACUGUUCUGUUUCAUUUUUAUUUGUUAAACCGUUUGCAUCAAAACUACUGUUUUAGUAUUUCUGUCUUUCAUUAGUCUAGCUAUCACCGACCAAGCUCAAUCUUUUAAGAUUGAACAUUAGUCUGGGGAGUCUGCUCUGUAUUUUCUCAGCACAGGUAAAAGAAAAUCUGUGCCCUAUGCCCGUGUGAUCAGCGGGCAUAGUUCAAAUGACUCUGUACGCAAUUGGAUAUUCCUUCAACCAAUCAGACCAAUGAUCUGGGUGACGUACGGGUUGCUGCGCUUCGGUGGCCGCCAUGUGGAAUGUAAACAAAAAGCUGCUUGCCGUCUCUUCUCUAUCGUCAUUGUGUUAAACCCACCAAUAGCGCGCCCGGUGGAUAAGCUAGUUUGUGAUUGGUCCCCGCAGAUUUGGAACCGAAGCAGGAUGGAAAAAUGUACAGGUUUCCAGCCUGACCUGCAGGGACAUCAAAUUGCAGGCAGAUGGGGCUGGGUUUACCCAGUCUUUCAUGUGUUAAUCAUGAAGCUGAGUCACUUUGCAAGGAGCACAGAAUGCACCCAUGAGGGCAGAGCGCAUAAUGUGGAGGAAAUGUCGAGCUUGACGAAUGAUGAAGAAGAAAGUUACUGAUUAUGUGAAAUGUAUAACUAAUUUGACUCCCUGCUCCUUAAAAGAGCCUCUGUUGAGAUCACUAGUCAGUCAUGUUUCGGUGCUUACACUGAGUGCUGUAAACUGACUCUGCUUGUGCAAGUAAAACAAGCUUUUGAAGUAGA